AUUGAACGCUGGCGGCAUGCCUUACACAUGCAAGUCGAACGGCAGCACGGGGCAACCUGGUGGCGAGUGGCGAACGGGUGAGUAAUGCAUCGGAACGUACCUUUCAGUGGGGGAUAACGUAGCGAAAGUUACGCUAAUACCGCAUAUUCUGUGAGCAGGAAAGCAGGGGAUCGCAAGACCUUGCGCUGAUUGAGCGGCCGAUGUCAGAUUAGCUAGUUGGUGAGGUAAAGGCUCACCAAGGCGACGAUCUGUAGCGGGUCUGAGAGGAUGAUCCGCCACACUGGAACUGAGACACGGUCCAGACUCCUACGGGAGGCAGCAGUGGGGAAGUUUGGACAAUGGGGGCAACCCUGAUCCAGCCAUGCCGCGUGAGUGAAGAAGGCCUUCAGGUUGUAAAGCUCUUUCGGCCGGGAAGAAAUCGCACGGGCUAAUACCCUGUGUGGAUGACGGUACCGGAAUAAGCACCGGCUAACUACGUGCCAGCAGCCGCCGUAAAAC
rnacentral:rRNA from 1 species